GUGCUCGCUUCAGCAGCACAUAUACUAAAACUGAAAUGAUACAGAGAAGAUUAGCAUGGCCCCUGGGCAAGGAUGACAUGCAAAUUUAUGAAACAUUCCAUAUUUUA
rnacentral:snRNA from 1 species